GACGAACGCUGGCGGCGUGCCUAAUACAUGCAAGUAGAACGCUGAAGGAGGAGCUUGCUUCUCUGGAUGAGUUGCGAACGGGUGAGUAACGCGUAGGUAACCUGCCUGGUAGCGGGGGAUAACUAUUGGAAACGAUAGCUAAUACCGCAUAAUAGUAGAUGUUGCAUGACAUUUGCCUAAAAGGUGCAAUUGCAUCACUACCAGAUGGACCUGCGUUGUGUUAGCUAGUUGGAGGGGUAACGGCUCACCAAGGCGACGAUACAUAGCCGACCUGAGAGGGUGAUCGGCCACACUGGGACUGAGACACGGCCCAGACUCCUACGGGAGGCAGCAGUAGGGAAUCUUCGGCAAUGGACGGAAGUCUGACCGAGCAACGCCGCGUGAGUGAAGAAGGUUUUCGGAUCGUAAAGCUCUGUUGUAAGAGAAGAACGAGUGUGAGAGUGGAAAGUUCACACUGUGACGGUAUCUUACCAGAAAGGGACGGCUAACUACGUG
rnacentral:rRNA from 1 species